rfam:Ovis aries breed Texel chromosome 17, whole genome shotgun sequence.
UCUCUGGUGGUCCAGUGGCGAAGACGAGUCUGAGCUCUCAAUGCAGAGGGCCCAGGUUCGAUCCCUGGUCAGGGAA